UACAGAGGGUGCGAGCGUUGUCCGGAAUCACUGGGCGUAAAGGGCGCGUAGGCGGCUUGAUAAGCGUGCGGUGAAAGCCCGGGGCUCAACCCCGGGUCGGCCGUGCGAACUGUCGAGCUGGAGCACUGUAGAGGCAGGUGGAAUUCCCGGUGUAGCGGUGAAAUGCGCAGAUAUCGGGAGGAACACCUAUGGCGAAGGCAGCUCGCUGGGACGUUACUGACGCUGAGACGCGAAAGCGUGGGGAGCAAACAGG
rnacentral:rRNA from 1 species